rnacentral:rRNA from 1 species
GAUGAACGCUGGCGGCGUGCUUAACACAUGCAAGUCGAACGGAAAGGCUCCUGCUUGCAGGGGUACUCGAGUGGCGAACGGGUGAGUAACACGUGGGUGAUCUGCCCUGCACUUCGGUAUAAGCCUGGGAAACUGGGUCUAAUACCGGAUAGGACGAUGGUUUGGAUGCCAUUGUGGAAAGUUUUUCGGUUUGGGAUGAUCGCGCGGCCUAUCAGCUUGUUGGUGGGGUAAUGGCCUACCAAGGCGUCGACGGGUAGCCGGCCUGAGAGGGUGUACGGCCACAUUGGGACUGAGAUACGGCCCAGACGCCUACGGGAGGCAGCAGUGGGGAAUAUUGCACAAUGGGCGCAAGCCUGAUGCAGCGACGCCGCGUGGGGGAUGACGGCCUUCGGGUUGUAAACUCCUUUCGCUAGGGACGAAGCGCAAGUGACGGUACCUGGAGAAGAAGCACCGGCUAACUACGUG